rnacentral:rRNA from 1 species
UACGAAGGGGGCUAGCGUUACUCGGAUUGACUGGGCGUAAAGGGCGCGUAGGCGGUUUGUACAGUCAGACGUGAAAUUCCUGGGCUCAACCUGGGGGCUGCGUCUGAUACGUGCAGACUUGAGUUCGGAAGAGGGUCGUGGAAUUCCCAGUGUAGAGGUGAAAUUCGUAGAUAUUGGGAAGAACACCGGUGGCGAAGGCGGCGACCUGGUCCGAUACUGACGCUGAGGCGCGAAAGCGUGGGGAGCAAACAGG